GGAGAAACCCAGACAGGGAGAGAACAGGAGGUGAAUGAGGCCACAG
rnacentral:miRNA from 1 species